rnacentral:misc_RNA from 1 species
GUAGGUGAACCUGCGGAAGGAUCAUUCUUGUAUCAUCUAGUCUAUUGCUCAGGCAAUCUACUUUCUACUAUGUGAACAGUGUAUUUACUUGAUUGCAACAAUGCAAAUAUUUUUUGUGUUGAUUGUGAUUGGGGAGAAUUCAAGACAGAUUUAACAUCUAUACAAUUUACAAUUGUCUCAACAACAACAACAACAACAAAUACAACUUUUAGCAACGGAUCUCUAGGCUCUCGCAUCGAUGAAGAACGCA